rnacentral:rRNA from 1 species
AACGAACGCUGGCGGCAGGCCUAACACAUGCAAGUCGAGCGAGGACUUCGGUCCUAGCGGCGGACGGGUGAGUAACGCGUGGGAACGUGCCCUUUGCUUCGGAAUAGCCCUGGGAAACUGGGAGUAAUACCGGAUGAGCCCUUUGGGGGAAAAAUUUAUCGGCGAAGGAUCGGCCCGCGUUGGAUUAGGUAGUUGGUGGGGUAAUGGCCUACCAAGCCGACGAUCCAUAGCUGGUUUGAGAGGAUGAUCAGCCACACUGGGACUGAGACACGGCCCAGACUCCUACGGGAGGCAGCAGUGGGGAAUCUUAGACAAUGGGGGAAACCCUGAUCUAGCCAUGCCGCGUGAGCGAUGAAGGCCUUAGGGUUGUAAAGCUCUUUCAGCUGGGAAGAUAAUGACGGUACCAGCAGAAGAAGCCCCGGCUAACUCCGUG